rnacentral:sRNA from 1 species
GCCAGGCGUUGUGGCAGGCGCCUGUAGUCCCAGCUACUUGGGAGGCAGAGGCAGGAGACUCGCUUGAGCCCAGGAGUUGGAGGUUGCUGUCAGCUGUGAUGCCACAGCACUCUACCCAGGGGGACAGCUUGAGGCUCUGUCUCCAAAAAAAAAGAGAAUGAGUCUCACUGUUGCCCUCCGUAGAGUGCAGUGGCAUCACAGCUCACAGCAACCUCCAAAUCUUGGGCUUAAGCACUUCUUUUGCC